CUUGCUUCCGCCGACGACCGGCGCACGGGUGCGUAACGCGUAUACAAUCUACCUUAUACUGGGGUAUAGCCUUUAGAAAUGAAGAUUAACCCCCCAUAGUCUCUUAGAGUGGCAUCACUUCUAGAGUAAAGGUUACGGUAUAAGAUGAGUAUGCGUUCUAUUAGUUUGUUGGUGUGGUAACGGCACACCAAGACUACGAUAGAUAGGGGCCCUGAGAGGGGGAUCCCCCACACUGGUACUGAGACACGGACCAGACUCCUACGGGAGGCAGCAGUGAGGAAUAUUGGACAAUGGAGGCAACUCUGAUCCAGCCAUGCCGCGUGCAGGAAGACUGCCCUAUGGGUUGUAAACUGCUUUUAUACAGGAAGAAACACCUCUACGUGUAGAGGCUUGACGGUACUGUAAGAAUAAGGAUCGGCUAACUCCGUGCCAGCAGCCGCGGUAAUACGGAGGAUCCAAGCGUUAUCCGGAAUCAUUGGGUUUAAAGGGUCCGUAGGUGGAUAAUUAAGUCAGAGGUGAAAUCUUGCAGCUCAACUGUAAAAUUGCCUUUGAAACUGGUUAUCUUGAGUUAUU
rnacentral:rRNA from 1 species